AACGAACGCUGGCGGCGUGCUUAAUACAUGCAAGUCGAACGGAGACAGUAGCAAUAUUGUCUUAGUGGCGAACGGGUGAGUAACGCGUUGGUGACCUGCCCCGAAGAGGGGGAUAACGGUCCGAAAGGAUUGCUAAUACCCCAUGUGGUCAUUUGGAUUAGAUGCCUUAUGACUAAACGGAUUUAUUCGCUUCGGGAGGGGCCUGCGUCCCAUCAGCUAGUUGGUAAGGUAAUGGCUUACCAAGGCGAUGACGGGUAGGGGACCUGAGAGGGUGGCCCCCCACAAUGGAACUGAAACACGGUCCAUACACCUACGGGUGGCAGCAGUAGGGAAUAUUGGUAAUGUGCGAAAGCGCGAACCAGCAACGCCGCGUGCGCGAUGAAGGCCUUCGGGUUGUAAAGCGCUUUUUAUGGGGAUGAGGAAGGACAGUACUCAUAGAAUAAGCCUCGGCUAACUACGUGCCAGCCGCCGCAGUAAAAC
rnacentral:rRNA from 1 species